rnacentral:rRNA from 1 species
AACGAACGCUGGCGGCAGGCCUAACACAUGCAAGUCGAACGAAGGCCCGGAGCUUGCUUCGGUGUCCUUAGUGGCGGACGGGUGAGUAACACGUGGGAAUCUACCUAUCAGUAUGGGAUAACUGCGGGAAACUGCAGCUAAUACCGUAUACGCCCUUCGGGGGAAAGAUUUAUCGCUGAUAGAUGAGCCCGCGCUCGAUUAGCUUGUUGGUGAGGUAACGGCUCACCAAGGCUACGAUCGAUAGCUGGUCUGAGAGGACGAUCAGCCACACUGGGACUGAGACACGGCCCAG